CGUUUCCAGCUCGCAAUUUCUCAGUCGGACGCAACCCCACGUUGAACGACGGACUUGCACCCUUUCACCGCGCUGUCUACGCUUCCAAAGGAAGGACGCUGCACGGCUGCCUUAUCUACUGAAUCUGUCGUGUGAGUCGGACACCACCCCACAUUAACGCCGGACGCUCGAACCCUGCCACAGGCUGUCUCAGGCUUCCAUCAUAGGGAGAGGAGGGUGGCGCUUGGACGGCUGCUUUGUGCUACUACAUCAGAAUGGCAAACGCGACCCACCAUCGGAGGGCCUCCACCGGCCUAGUGCCGGUGUCCUGGUGGUCGGUUCCUCCGAACUGCGGGUUCGACUCUGAUGGCCGCGAGGGUGUGCUGCGUGUCUCUUCCCGGGCCGGGCCGAUAUGAAGCAUGACCAAGACGCAUCGUCUGACUCGGGGGUCCCACCACGGGUCCCGCAGCGGGGUGGAGGUUCCAGGCUGAAACCUCCCCAGGUUUAUUGCGAGUUCAACAGAGUGGUGGGGGAAAAUCUCAAGGACAACUUCUUCGAUGCACUUGACCGUUUCUCUCCGAGCCUGAUGGACCUCUUUAGGAAGAAGAAAGGAGUCACUG